UAAUAAUGCUUAACUAUUACUUUUCACAGUAACGAGUAGUGCAAGGGAUUACAAUAUCCAAAACAGUAAUUAUAUUACAGUUACUAAUCCAAUUAACACUGUGUUACUGUGUUACCCGAAUGUGAUUUGUAUUUUGUCCAAGGUCAGCUUUCUUAAAAGAUGACGUGACGUGCAUGCUUGUCAUAAUUUAGCGUGCAGCAGGUCAGGGCCAGGGCAGAUAACGUCACAUUGGCUACUAGCCAAAAAGC